ensembl:lincRNA 4632415L05Rik RIKEN cDNA 4632415L05 gene
GUCUGUGGUUUGGGGGUAUUUGGGUGCCCCUGGAAUGAAGUACGUUCUGAAGUAUGCUGCACCGAAGUGAGGGGACCGGGAGUCAUGGAGGGCCAGAGCGCAGAGAUGCUGCAGGCCAGGUGGAGGCGGAGAAGUUGCAGCGCCUCCCAGUGCACAAAGAGCUGGAGCAAGAAUUCGACCUUGGCACCCUACCGGCUCCGGACCGCACUCCCGGACAGGCCGAGCUGCCGGCCUUGGCGCGGGACAGCACGCAGCUGCUCAUCACCGUGCUGCUGCCGACCGUGCGCUGGGGGAGGAGGUGGUAGCGCGCUUGCCGGUGCCCUCCACUCGCUUGCCCCGCGGGAAGCUGCUAUUCGUGCCGCGGCUGCUCACCCGCUGGCAGCAGUUCGCGCGUCAUCAGAGCAUCCGCCCAAGAAGACCACUUUCUUGUGGGACGAGGUGAGUGGCCAGUGGCGGUGCUGAUUGGACUGCAAGCUCGCCCGGAACCACAGUAUGGAAUGGCUGAUAAAUGUGCCUGGGGGCACCCGACCCCAUGGAAGCAGAUUUAGGCCAAGAAGGAACGCGUGGCCAAGAACGAGCUAAAACGGCCGCGGAACCUGGCCCGAGUGCACAAGAUGUAGAUGCCCAACUCAGUCGGCCUGCACCCAACGAGACACCUGAGUAAGGAGGAGCUGGUCUGCGCCCAGCAAGUGGCCAGUGACUCCACCGCUGCAGUGGGACGCUUCCAGGAGCGCCUCUCUAAGGAGAAGACGCCCCUAGAGCCCCGGAAGAAGAGGAAGUUUUAGUCCCUCUUUGAGGACUUUGUGACCGAGAAAAUGACCAGUUGGAGCUACUGAAAGUCAAGAACAGCAAGAAGCCUCAUCAGGAUGUGAGGGGGCGCAUCAACAAGCAGAUGAGAGAAGAGGAAAAUGAGCCAGAAAGGCGAAGAGAAAGGGGAUCCAGCAAAGAUCUUUGAGUAAGAGCAGGGGCUGGAGAGAUGGCUUAGCAGUUAAGAGCACUGACUUCCCUUCCAGAGGUCCUGAGUUCAAUUCCCAGCAACCACAUGGUGGCUAAAUAAUAAAUAAUAAAUCUAAAAAAAAAAAGCAUUCCAGGCAGCCUGCUCUAGGUGACAAGAAGAAAGAAGAAUUGUACCAAGGAAGCAGUGUUCUCCCCAUUGAUCCUGUUCUGCCAAGCUGCAGGCUGGUGCAGGAGGUGGCCGCCACCCUCGUUGAGCUUGACAUUGAAGGGACAGGUUUGCCUCCCUUCACGUCAGUGCUGGACUAUGCUUUUCCCACAACAGAGACAUUGGCUGGAACUUAUAGCUCUAAUUUGAGAACAUGAGAUUUGUAGAAAUAAUAUGGUCAGAACCAGGAAUAACUUAACAGCCUGCUUUUUUAUCUUGACUUUGUAUAUUGGGUUGAUGAGAUUUCUGAAGUAUAGUAGAUUGGUCUCAACAUUUUCGCAUUAUUUUUGUAGCAGCUUGUGUAUGUAUCAAAGCAGGGAGAAUGGGGAAAACUAUGUGAUUUGCACGUAUUAUAAAAGAUAUGCUGAUACCUGGUGUUAAUUUUAACUUUUACUGUAGGUAGAAGUUGUUGAACAUGAAGCCAGUGACCUGGGUACCAAUAUAUUGUGUGCUUAAAAAAAAAUGGUUACAGGUAAGUCACUUGUAUUAGGAAAACUCAGAAGUUUAUUUAGUGCUAAGUAUAGUAUCGAAAGCACAGUACAAUUGAUGUUGGCCAAAUGAACACAUUGUUUUAAAUGAUAAAUUGGAAUUAACCUUGUUACUCCAGAAAAUACUUGUCAUUUUGUUUAUAAUCAGUGGCUUUUGUUGAAUUGGCUUGGGUUUUAGAUUUUAGCCCGUGCUGUGCUGGAAUUCACUAUGAAGCAGAGGCUGAACUGGAAUUUGAGGCCUUAUGGCUCUGUCCCAAGCGCUCCUCCCUCAAUACUGGACUUUUUACUAUGAAUUUUCAGGAAAUAUUUAUGCAAAGUAAGUUUAUUAAGCUCAAAUAAGUCAUUGAUAUCAGGAAAAAACAUUCAGACAGCAAAAAACUUGAAAUCUCCUGCUGGAUGUAGCUGCUCAUUUGUAAUCUCAGCACUUGGGCUUCCUAUAUUUUCAAAUAUUGGUUGUUCUUAAAAGUUAUAGUCCCAUAGCCAACCAAGGCUAUUUAGCAGUGAGAGAAUAUAUUUAGAGGGUAGUUUUCAGAUAAUAUGCAAGCUAACUAGGACAUAACAUGGAUUUAUAAGCCUUUCUUAAGUUAGGAUAGAUAACAGAGUGUUCUAUUUAAUUGACGAAAAUGCUGGACUGGGUGUUAGGUAUAUUUUGUACUUAAUAAAUUACAAAAUGCUAAUAGUUGUGCUCAAUGUAUAUCUGAAAAAAAAAAAAAGAGCCUUUUAAUUGGACAAAAAGUGGGGAAGUGCUGUGGAUAGCCCUGGUACUGUUUGUAUUUUGAUGCUAAUUCUGUUUCCCCUAGAGGGGUUGCCUGUGAAUUGAGUGAAUCAUGCCCUCAGGUGACUUCAUGUGAACCUUCCCCUAAUGGAUAAAGAUUUCAAAGAACCAAUCACUGAGCGAGUAGGCAGGACUCCGGGUCAGAGAAAGGGAUGGUGGAAGAAGAGAGGAGACAGGAAAGUGGACACCAAAAUGUAGGUAGAAGAGGCCCCAGUUUGGGUGGCAGAUCCGUUGGGCUUCAUUACGGGAGAAUUUAACUUAGAAAGGCUUACACAUUAGGACGCUAGUUGUUGCGCUCAGUGAUUGUGUUGCCUUUUGAUUCUAAGCUAAGAUUAUGUGGCGUUUUCCUUCAUGUGGCGACUCAACUGAGUUCCAGUCCACCAUGGCAACUUAGCAAGCUGGGUGGAGAGAUUUUGGAGCUCAGAUCAGAGGGUCUGCUGGGCUGAGAACAGGCCUGUCUGUUGGGUGUAAGUAUCUGCUUCUGUCUUAGUCAGCUGGUAGUCAAAGGACAGCCAUGCUAGACUCCUGUCUGUAAGCACAUCAUAGCAUCAAUAAUAGUGCCAGACCUAUUAGUGUCUCCCCCAUGAGGUAGAUCCCCAGUUGGGCUAGUCACUAGACUGCUUUUCCCUGUCUCUUCUCCAUUUUUGUCCCUGCAGUUCUUUUAGACAGGAACAGCUCUGGGUCAGAAAUUUUGACUGUGGGUUGAUAACACCAUCCCUCCUCUUGAGGCCCUGUCUAUCUACUGGAGGCAGACUCUUCUAGUUCUGUCUCCUCACUGUUGGGCAUUUUGGCUAAGGUCAGCUUCAUUGAGUCCUGAGAGUCUCUCACCUUCCAGAUACUUCCUAGAGGGUCUCCUCAUCUCCCAUCUUCUGAGGCUGCAUAUUUCCAUUCCUUCUGCUGGUCCUCUGGGCUUCUCUUCUGUUUGUCUCCCCCAUACAUGAUCAUGAUCCCCUUUUCUCCUCCCCCUCCCUCUGCUUUCUGUGAUGAUUUUCUUCCCCCUUCUAAGCUAGACUGAAGCAUCAUCAUUGACCUUUUUGCUUGAUAAACUCUGUGGCGUGUAUCCUAGGUAUUCUAUAUUUUUAGGCUAAUAUCCACUUAUUAGUAAAUACAAUGUAUAUCCUUUUGGGUCUGGGUUACCUCACUCAAGAUGAUAUUUCUUAGUUCUGAAAGAUCCUGACAAAAUGUAAAAGGUCACAGAAGCCCUGAAAUUGGCAAGAUAGAUGUCACUGUUAGCAGAACUNNNNNNNNNNNNAGUUGCUAUACCUGCACCAGACUCUUUCCUUGUACCCCUCCCAUACCCAUUUCUUGAGAAUAGACAUUGUUUAGAUCUGGAAAUCCCCUACUCUUCCCUUCUCCUUUGCCCCCUGAAGGCCUAUAAAAACUGGGACCUCUUUCCCCUCGAGGUUGACUCCUCUUCCCCUGCAUGGGAUAUGAGUCAUCCCCAGAGCUCUGGCUUUCCCCAAAUAAAGCCUCAUGUGGUUUGCA